UUCAACGGCCGCGGUAUUUUAACCGUGCGAAGGUAGCGUAAUCACUUGUCUUUUAAAUAAAGACUCGUAUGAAUGGCAUCACGAGGAUUAAACUGUCUCCCUCCUCUAAUCAGUGAAACUGAUCUCCCCGUGCAGAAGCGGGGAUAAUAUCAUAAGACGAGAAGACCCUGUGGAGCUUUAAAUCAAAAGUCAACUACUUUAUCUUAUAUUAAAACACAUUCCAUAGACCUGACCAAGAUUUUUAGCUGGGGCGCCUGCGGAGAAAAAUUUAUCCUCCAUGAAAAUUAAAGCUACGAAUUACCAUUCCAGGUAUUAAUAAACUUAACUUCUAUUGACCCAAUCUUAUUGAUCAACGGACCAAGUUACCCCAGGGAUAACAGCGCAAUCCACUUUUAGAGUCCCUAUCGACAAGUGGGCUUACGACCUCGAUGUUGGAUCAGGGCAUCCGAGUGGUGCAGCCACUACUAAAGGUUCGUUUGUUCAACGAUUAAAG
rnacentral:rRNA from 1 species